rnacentral:rRNA from 1 species
ANAGGGGGAUGCUAUCGUCCCCUCUGGAACUAUGAGACAGCUGCUGCAUAGAAAUCGUCAGCUCGUGUUGUGAAAUGAUGGGUUAAGUCCCGCAACGAGCGCAACCCUUAUCCUUUGUUGCCAGCGAUUCGGUCGGGAACUCAAAGGAGACUGCCGGUGAUAAACCGGAGGAAGGUGGGGAUGACGUCAAGUCAUCAUGGCCCUUACGAGUAGGGCUACACACGUGCUACAAUGGCGUAUACAAAGAGAAGCGACCUCGCGAGAGCAAGCGGAACUCAUAAAGUACGUCGUAGUCCGGAUUGGAGUCUGCAACUCGACUCCAUGAAGUCGGAAUCGCUAGUAAUCGUAGAUCAGAAUGCUACGGUGAAUACGUUCCCGGGCCUUGUACACACCGCCCGUCACACCAUGGGAGUGGGUUGCAAAAGAAGUAGGUAGCUUAACCUUCGGGA